GAAGCCGUCUGAACUGAAGGGAAACGGAGCCGCCUGAGAGAGCUGAAGCGGACUGAGAGAGAAAAGCCGAACGCGCUGCCGACAAUUUCGUGUAACUUGUUUUUGGCUGGAAAAACAAGUUAAUUGAAGAAAGAUAAACUUAAAAAUUAUUUAAUUUCAAGGAAAGCUUGGUGUGAAAUGAGUAUCCAAAAAAGGGGGGGAAACGGCAAAAAAGAAAAAAGAAAAAGAGAAGAAAAAAAGGUGUGUGUUGAUAUAAAAGAGGGAAAAUGUGAUAGAAAACAUCUAUUUAAAAGUUAAACCCUUUGAAUUUUUUGGCUCUGUAUAAAAUUUCAAUUCCCUCCAAGCACCUUUUUGACUGAGUAGCCCAACAUUUUUUUUUUUUUGGGUGAUAUUUAUUGACUCUGUAUAAACAUUUUUUGGUUUUCAUUUUUUGGCGAUAUUUUAUUGACUCUGUAUAAACACCUCUUUGAAGUUUACAUCGUCCUCCUUUUUUUCCCCUUUCUUUUUUUGCCCUUUUUCCACUCUCUACUUAGUCAAAAAAUGUUUAUACAGAGCCAAAAAAAUGAAAACCAAAAACAAAUAUGUUUUUUUUCUUCAUUUCACAUCUGGGUUUGCUCUUCUUCUCCUUCUUCUUCUUCUCUUUCUCCAACUUCUUCUUCUCCUUUUUCUUCUCCUUCUUCUUAAGGGUUUUGUGUGAUCAUUAAAACAUGGGGUGUUUUUUGUUUUUCUUAGUUCUGAACCUGUGUCUGACAUUGUAGCUAAGAUUUUUGUAAUCUAAACAAUUUCGAUUAGGAUUAAGAAUUGUGAAUGAGAAAAUUCUAGGCAAGUUUCCAAGAAUUAAAGAAGCUGUCUCUCAAAAAUUCAGAGUCUUGGAUCAUCGAGGAGAAGAUGCAAGAUGUGUUUGGAUUUGAAGACAUGGGAAAGGAAGGUUUUGAAGGAAAUUUAGAGUAAGUGAGCAAAGGAAUUCAAAGGAUUGGAAUAAGUUUUCUAUUGCUUUCUUUUAAUUUGUUGCACGGAUAAUGUAAUCGAGCUUUUACUAUUACUCGUACAAUUUACAAUCUAUCCAUUGUUUAUAUAUAUCUAA